rnacentral:lncRNA from 1 species
AUCUGCUUUCAGGCUGGAUUUAUAACAAGCAGAACUUUUAAAACGGUAUGAUUUUAAAAUAAAAUUAAAAAAAAAACACGCUGAGAUCUUUCCAUAGCUUUGGCUUCUGGGAGUUGAAAGCGCAGGUACGUGCUACAUCUUCUGGAAACCUAACCCUCGCACGCCAAGCGGGAGGCUCUUUUGGUCAAAUACUCCCAGGACUUAUGCUUGAGUUCUGAAAUAAGUGAAAGCAGAUGCCAUUCCUGUGCGACAUAGCUAACUGACCGCAGCCCAGAAAGUUCUGUUGGCUAGCUGUGUGGGGGCUGUCUUAAGCCCUGAAAACAUUCUGCAUCAGAACUCAGCUUCAGAAAGGGGUUCCUGCUCUCCUGUCUGCCCUGGAGAUAGUCACGCAUGACAGCUUGUGGGCUGACUGAGCAUUUAGGCAGCUGCUUUUCCUCUCUCCCUCCAGGAGGAAAAUAGAGCAAAAAGGUAGAACUUACUUCCACACCCAAGUUUCUCCUGAAAGCACUGUGCCUGUUUUGUUUGCUACACAUCUUGGUGCUCCAGCAGAUUACCAGUGAAACAUGCCGACUCUCACCAAACCACCCCAUGUUGCCAAAUCUUCUCUCUUGGCCCUGAUGAUGUGCAACUUAAAACCAAGGUCCAGGUUGACUGCACAGCAGAGUUUACUGUUCGCUCUCUCGCUCUCUCUCCUCUCUCUUUUUUUCUGUAAGCCCAAUAAAUCUGCCCUAUCACGUCAUUGAGGCCACAAGGAAAUGUAAUCCUGCCAAGUGUGGGAGUUAACAAAAACUGCCAAAGUCUUAAGGUUGCAGAGAGAGCAAGAACCACUUUCUGGGUUACGCAUGUCUACUGUGUAUGUGCAGGGGUGCCAUGUGUAUGUACCGCGUGUGUGUGUGGGUACUGUGUGUGUGCAUGGAUGCUAUGUGGAUUCACCAUGCACUACCAUGUGUGCAUGAGCACCAUGUGUGUACACUGAGAGUGUAUGUGGCUAGCAGGUGUGUGUACUCUGUGUACCUGAGCACUGUGCGUACCUGUGCACUGAGCCUAUAUAUGGGCAUGUGUUUAUAGCAUGUAUGCAUGUGUGCUAUGUGUAUAUACCAUGCACUUGCACACAUAUACUGUGUGUGCAGCACACCAGAUGCCACAGAUAUGGUGGCGGGAGGGUCAAUGACAGGGAACUGGGGGGAGGCAGGUGUGAGGCAGGCCUGCUUGGGAACAGGUAAAUCACUUAAGGAUGCAGUGCUUUUCAUCUGCUUUGCUGCUCUUUUCCUCUUAAGCAGCAUGCGCUGAGAUUGCAGAAACCUGAAAGAUAGGGAAAGUGUGUAUCCCAUCUCCCCUUCCUGCCUGACUCUCAAGUAAGUUUUCUUUAAGUAUCUUUUUUCUUCAGCUUCAGGAAAAAGAGGACCUUAGAACUGAAGGAGCAAGAUUCCAACAUCACACUGUUUUUGUUAGCUGUGUGUGUGUGUUUCCUGUGUAUCCAAAAGACAGAGGAGAUGAAAAAGCAAAAGAAAAGAAACGAGGAAUCAGAUUGGAAAGAAGGUUUCUCCAGGACGUCACCUGUAUGAGGGCUCAAGCCUGGAAGAAGCCUUAGGACGUGGGGGAAAUGUCUAACGUGGAGUCCACCUGCUGAGCAGGACCGGGUGUGAAGGAAGAAGCUUUGUUCUGAUUCCUCAUGGCCCAGCCACCCCUCGCCUGAGCUGAGCCUGGCCACAGGGCCCGCCUGCAGGAAGGGCUGGCCCAUGGCUUCACACUGGGCUCAGGCUGCGCUAAGAGCCCCGGGUGAGGACCUCCAAGCCCAGGAAGCCUCAGUUGGCCAAAGUGCUAGAUGCGUGUGGUCUGCUUUCAUCCCCGCUUCCCUCAGAGCUUGCAUUUUCCAAAUUCAAGAGAGGCUCCACCUUCAAGAAGACCGGCCUGUCCCUGUUAUUUAUGUGUCCCCCUACCAUAUCUCCCUUUGUUCUGCAGAGCGGUACGCAUAAAAAGCUUUUGGGGA